rnacentral:rRNA from 1 species
UCCAGACUCCUACGGGAGGCAGCAGUGGGGAAUAUUGCACAAUGGGGGAAACCCUGAUGCAGCAACGCCGCGUGAGUGAAGAAGUAUUUCGGUAUGUAAAGCUCUAUCAGCAGGGAAGAAAAUGACGGUACCUGAGUAAGAAGCCCCGGCUAACUACGUGCCAGCAGCCGCGGUAAUACGUAGGGGGCAAGCGUUAUCCGGAUUUACUGGGUGUAAAGGGAGCGUAGACGGCGAUACAAGUCUGAAGUGAAAGCCCGGGGCUCAACCCCGGGACUGCUCUUGGAACUGUGCGGCUGGAGUGCGGGAGGGGCAGGCGGAAUUCCUGGUGUAGCGGUGAAAUGCGUAGAUAUCAGGAGGAACACCGGCGGCGAAGGCGGCCUGCUGGACCGCGACUGACGUUGAGGCUCGAAAGCGUGGGGAGCAAACAGGAUUAGAUACCCUAGUAU